rnacentral:lncRNA from 1 species
CAGAAGUAGGAGAAAAGGCCUGUGGAAUAUGUCCAUAUUUGCAUUUGAGAAACAACACUGGCUGCUCUCUGAAGAGACUAUGCGGAGCAGAAACAAAGCAAGGUCAGAAGGAAACUACUUGCUCAAAAGGAGACCAGAGGAAUGAAAAUGUGGUAUAACCAGGAGUUGCGAAGUGGUCGUAGUUGUUCAUGUCUCAAUCUGGAUCAUCUUUGCUUUUUGCUUCUGCUUUGUGCUAUCCCUCUUCCCGUACCUCAGUUCUAUCUGGAACCAUGAUCUGUGACUGCCAUGGAAAAGUGUUGGGCAGGAGGAGGCCAGCUGGGUCUUUGAAGUUGACAAUGGAGCCAGGAAUGAAAGCUGCACUUAGGAUGAGAAUUGCUUUCCCUGGAGCCAAGUCAGCAAAUGCAGUCUGGUUGUCAGAGCUGAGAGGCUUCACCAAGUCAAGUAGGGGAGGACAUCUUCACUCUGCAACUUGCCCUACUGAAUGCAGAAAGUACUGUCUACUUAGAUAAAGCCUACACUAAAAGGGAAUUGAAUCUCUGCAAAUAAGUAUGUGGAUCUAAUUUCUACCUUCCAGAUUAAAAGUAUAAUUAAAAAUGAAAACCUUUGUAGGACUAAAUUGAUUUUGCAGACAAAUCUCACUUCUUAGCUUGAGCUGACUUAUUCCCAAUCUUAAACCCUAAUUAAUAACAUACAAGAAU